rnacentral:rRNA from 1 species
UACAGAGGGGGCGAGCGUUGUUCGGAAUUACUGGGCGUAAAGAGCUCGUAGGCGGUUUGUUGCGUCGGCUGUGAAAACCUGAGGCUCAACCUCAGGCCUGCAGUCGAUACGAGCAGACUAGAGUGUUGCAGGGGAGACUGGAAUUCCUGGUGUAGCGGUGAAAUGCGCAGAUAUCAGGAGGAACACCGGUGGCGAAGGCGGGUCUCUGGGCAACAACUGACGCUGAGGAGCGAAAGCGUGGGGAGCGAACAGG